UAGCUCGAGUGUUAGCACAGCUACUACGGUCGGAAUAGUUCUUUUUUACAAUCAGUAUUACUCGUUCGAAUUAUUGGCCUUAGGAGAUUUCUGAAGAUCAUUUCACUAUACUGAGUAACUUGUCCUUUACUCAAUGCACACGCUUCUACUUCCAAGACAUCUGAUGAUGUACAAAUCUGCAAACAUGAAAACAAUUCCGAAGGCAACAAGUCAGUGUUAAAUACUGUAAACUGGACUAUGUCACUCACAAUUGAAGUGCAUAGAAACGAACUGGUAAAUCGUCAAGAUGAAGUAGAAAUCAUAUCAGAAAGUGAUAAAGAUAUUGAGCAACAAAACUUGAUUGAUAAUGAAGCAUUGAAACUUGAAGAAUAUGGUGAGUCAUUGAAUAAGAGUCAAAGA
rnacentral:misc_RNA from 1 species